UACGUAGGGGGCAAGCGUUGUCCGGAUUCAUUGGGCGUAAAGAGCUCGUAGGCGGCUUGGCAAGUCGGGUGUGAAACCUCCAGCUCAACCUGGAGACGCCACCCGAUACUGCCAUGGCUAGAGUCCGGUAGGGGACCACGGAAUUCCUGGUGUAGCGGUGAAAUGCGCAGAUAUCAGGAGGAACACCGGUGGCGAAGGCGGUGGUCUGGGCCGGAACUGACGCUGAGGAGCGAAAGCCAGGGGAGCAAACGGG
rnacentral:rRNA from 1 species